rnacentral:tRNA from 1 species
AGGAUUAUAGUUAAUUAUAACAUUUGGGUUGCAUACAAAAAGUGCUGACAAUUAUUCAGCUUAUCUUA